UUUAAUAAAGUUAUUUAAUAGUCAUUGAGAAUUUGAAAUGAACUAUUCACACAUCAAUGUUGUUAAACAAACAGACAGGGAAAAUCCGCAAUAAAAUGACAAGGAAAAACUGAUUAAGAUAAAAGUGUUUAAUCAGACAUAAUAAAAAGUAGUGUAAACUGUAUUUUAUGUGUCAUUAUGAUUCAUGAAAGAAAGCAAAGAAAAGAAGGCACUAAUACUUUUUACCAUCAACCUUCAUAGAGAUAGCAGUGAAGGCAAGACUACAUGGAGAUCUCAUCAGGCCUUACAGCAACAGUUACAUAUCUCUGCUGCAUCUCAUUGUGAUGUGAGGACAAAUGAUUAGAAAUUUAAAAAAUACCCCCCCCCCCCACCCCCA